rnacentral:rRNA from 1 species
UACGGAGGGUGCAAGCGUUGCUCGGAAUCAUUGGGCGUAAAGCGCGUGUAGGCGGUUUUCUAAGACUGAUGUGAAAUCCCGGGGCUUAACUCCGGAACUGCAUUGGAUACUGGAAAGCUAGAGGGUGAGAGAGGAUGGUGGAAUUCCUGGUGUAGGGGUGAAAUCCGUAGAUAUCAGGGGGAACAGCGGUGGCGAAGGCGGUCAUCUGGCUCAUGCCCGACGCUGAGACGCGAAAGCGUGGUGAGCAAACAGG